UUGACCUCGGAUCAGGUAGGGAUACCCGCUGAACUUAAGCAUAUCAAUAAGCGGAGGAAAAGAAACCAACAGGGAUUGCCCCAGUAACGGCGAGUGAAGCGGCAAGAGCUCAAAUUUGAAAGCUGGCUCCUUCGGGGUCCGCAUUGUAAUUUGUAGAGGAUGCUUCGGGAGCGGUCCCCAUCUAAGUGCCCUGGAACGGGACGUCAUAGAGGGUGAGAAUCCCGUAUGGGAUGGGGUGUCCGCGCCCGUGUGAAGCUCCUUCGACGAGUCGAGUUGUUUGGGAAUGCAGCUCUAAAUGGGUGGUAAAUUUCAUCUAAAGCUAAAUAUUGGCCGGAGACCGAUAGCGCACAAGUAGAGUGAUCGAAAGAUGAAAAGCACUUUGAAAAGAGAGUUAAAAAGCACGUGAAAUUGUUGAAAGGGAAGCGCUUGCGACCAGACUCGCUCGCGGGGUUCAGCCGGCAUUCGUGCCGGUGUACUUCCCCGCGGGCGGGCCAGCGUCGGUUUGGGCGGUCGGUCAAAGGCCCUCGGAAGGUAACGCCCCUAGGGGCGUCUUAUAGCCGAGGGUGCAAUGCGACCUGCCUAGACCGAGGAACGCGCUUCGGCUCGGACGCUGGCAUAAUGGUCGUAAGC
rnacentral:rRNA from 1 species